rnacentral:rRNA from 1 species
GCUGAUGCGGGGCCGGGCGGUGAGGUAAGAGGGAGGAGCAGGGCGUUAUCCGGAUGUGUUGGGUUUAAAGGGAGCGUAGGCCGGGUUGGAAGCCAGAAGGGAAAGGUGUGUGUUCAACAUCGUAGUUGCGGGUGGAACUGCGGACCUGGAGUGCGCGCAAGGGCGGCGGAAUUUGUGGUGUAGCGGUGAAAUGCUUAGAUAUCACGAAGAACCCCGAUUGCGAAGGCAGCUGCCCGGAGCGCAACUGACGCUGAAGCUCGAUGGUGCGGGUAUCGAACAGGAUUAGAUACCCGGGUAGUC